rnacentral:rRNA from 1 species
UCUAUGUUUCUUGGAACAGAACGUCACAGAGGGUGAGAAUCCCGUGCGAUGAGAUGUCCCAGACCUAUGUAAAGUUCCUUCGAAGAGUCGAGUUGUUUGGGAAUGCAGCUCUAAGUGGGUGGUAAAUUCCAUCUAAAGCUAAAUAUUGGCGAGAGACCGAUAGCGAACAAGUACAGUGAUGGAAAGAUGAAAAGAACUUUGAAAAGAGAGUGAAAAAGUACGUGAAAUUGUUGAAAGGGAAGGGCUUGAGAUCAGACUUGGUAUUUUGUAUGUUACUCUCUCGGGGGUGGCCUCUACAGUUUACCGGGCCAGCAUCAGUUUGGGCGGUAGGACAAUUGCAAAGAAAUGUGGCACUGCCUCGGUAGUGUGUUAUAGUCUUUGUCGAUACUGCCAGCCUAGACUGAGGACUGCGGCUUCGGCCUAGGAUGUUGGCAUAAUGAUCUUAAGUCGCCCGUCUUGAAACACGGA